rnacentral:rRNA from 1 species
UACGGAGGGUGCGAGCGUUGUCCGGAAUCACUGGGCGUAAAGGGCGCGUAGGUGGCUUGGCAAGUGUGCGGUGAAAGUUCGGGGCUCAACCCCGAAUCGGCCGUGCGAACUGCCAGGCUUGAGCACUGUAGAGGCAGAUGGAAUUCCGGGUGUAGCGGUGGAAUGCGUAGAGAUCCGGAAGAACACCGGUGGCGAAGGCGGUCUGCUGGGCAGUUGCUGACACUGAGGCGCGACAGCGUGGGGAGCAAACAGG